UACGGAGGAUCCAAGCGUUAUCCGGAAUCAUUGGGUUUAAAGGGUCCGUAGGCGGUUUUGUAAGUCAGUGGUGAAAGCCCAUCGCUCAACGGUGGAACGGCCAUUGAUACUGCAAGACUUGAAUUAUUAGGAAGUAACUAGAAUAUGUAGUGUAGCGGUGAAAUGCUUAGAGAUUACAUGGAAUACCAAUUGCGAAGGCAGGUUACUACUAAUGGAUUGACGCUGAUGGACGAAAGCGUUGGGAGCGAACAGG
rnacentral:rRNA from 1 species